rnacentral:rRNA from 1 species
GUGCCAGCCGCCGCGGUAAUACGUAGGGGGCGAGCGUUAUCCGGAUUUACUGGGUGUAAAGGGAGCGUGGGUGGCGAAGCAAGUCAGAUGUGAAAGCCCGGGGCUCAACUCCGGGACUGCAUUUGAAACUGUUUUGCUAGAGUGCAGGAGAGGUAAGUGGAAUUCCUAGUGUAGCGGUGAAAUGCGUAGAUAUUAGGAGGAACACCAGUGGCGAAGGCGGCUUACUGGACUGUAACUGACACUGAGGCUCGAAAGCGUGGGGAGCAAACAGGAUUAGAUACCCUGGUAGUCCACGCUGUAAACGAUGAAUACUAGGUGUUGGGGAGCGAAUGCUCUUCGGUGCCGUCGCAAACGCAUUAAGUAUCCCACCUGGGGAGUACGUUCGCAAGAAUGAAACUCAAAGAAAUUGACGG